UAUUUUCCUUUUUUGCCAGCAGCCGCGGUAAUACGGAAGAUGCGAGCGUUAUCCGGAUUUAUUGGGUUUAAAGGGAGCGUAGGCGGGCUUUUAAGUCAGCGGUCAAAUGUCACGGCUCAACCGUGGCCAGCCGUUGAAACUGUAAGCCUUGAGUCUGCACAGGGCACAUGGAAUUCGUGGUGUAGCGGUGAAAUGCUUAGAUAUCACGAAGAACUCCGAUCGCGAAGGCAUUGUGCCGGGGCAUAACUGACGCUGAGGCUCGAAAGUGCGGGUAUCAAACAGG
rnacentral:rRNA from 1 species